CUACGGGGUGCAGCAGUGAGGAAUAUUGCGCAAUGGGGGCAACCCUGACGCAGCGACGCCGCGUGGAUGAUGAAGGCCUUCGGGUCGUAAAAUCCUGUCAGAUGGAAAGAAAUGGUAUAUGCCUAAUAUGCAUAUAUCUUGACGGUACCAUCAAAGGAAGCACCGGCUAACUCCGUGCCAGCAGCCGCGGUAAUACGGAGGGUGCAAGCGUUGUUCGGAAUUACUGGGCGUAAAGCGCGCGUAGGCGGCUUUUUAAGUCAGAUGUGAAAGUCCACGGCUCAACCGUGGAAGUGCAUUUGAUACUGGGAGGCUUGAGUACUGGAGGGGAUGGUGGAAUUCCCGGUGUAGAGGUGAAAUUCGUAGAUAUCGGGAGGAAUACCGGUGGCGAAGGCGACCAUCUGGCCAGAUACUGACGCUGAGGUGCGAAAGCGUGGGGAGCAAACAGGAUUAGAUACCCCGGUAGUC
rnacentral:rRNA from 1 species